rnacentral:rRNA from 1 species
UACGUAGGGGGCAAGCGUUAUCCGGAUUUACUGGGUGUAAAGGGAGCGUAGACGGCGAUGCAAGUCUGAAGUGAAAGGCGGGGGCCCAACCCCCGGACUGCUUUGGAAACUGUAUGGCUGGAGUGCAGGAGAGGUAAGUGGAAUUCCUAGUGUAGCGGUGAAAUGCGUAGAUAUUAGGAGGAACACCAGUGGCGAAGGCGGCCUGCUGGACUGCGACUGACGUUGAGGCCCGAAAGCGUGGGGAGCAAACAGG